AAUGCACUGCAACUCUCUAUAGAUAAAAGCACCAAUCAAAUGUGUAAAUGUGGAUAGUUUUUAAAUAACUGUCUGCUAUGCAUUUUAACUGAUACUACCACUGCAUCUCUCUGGAGGUGAAAAUUGUCAAGCUGACCAGCAAUGAAAUAUUGCAGAUGAAGCUUUAAGAAGGAUGUUACCGAUAUGCAACAUGAACCACUUUAACCAAUAAAAGCCAAGAGGUUAGGAUUGCGGGGGAAAACCUCUGUCCAAUGUUAAAAUACUGUAUGUCUGCGGUCGCAAAGCAUGAAGAUACAGUGGUGUCCAGUUGUUUUCCUGACCACUAAAUUCAGCCUUGUGAGAGCCAGGGCCUGACCACUACCUGUUUUUAUUUGUGGACUGUGGAGGUUAAUCCAUGGCGAAGAGAUGUGGAAAGAACAGGAGAAGUGAUGGAUGAACAGAAGGAGUACUGAUGAGGAAUAGAUAUCUUCAUGCAGUCUCACAUUAUGAGGGAAAAGAGGGAUCUCUGAUCAGAAGCAAACAGGAACAUCUUUGAAACUACAAAGAGUUCUGUCAUGAAACUCAAGAUGGCGCAGUCCGAUAGGUCUAGCUCAAUCUGACCUAAUGACAUCAUCACAUGGCACAGCUGAUUGGUUCUUUCCUGUAUGAGUAGCCAAUGAGCUCGCUGCUCAGCAUUCAAAUAUAUGACUAAGGCUUGCAGUAGCAGUGCAGCUUGCUUCAGAAUCCCUCCACCUUCCCCAGCUCCACCUGUAUAGAUCUGCUAUGAGGUGAUUCAUGUU
rnacentral:lncRNA from 12 species